rnacentral:rRNA from 1 species
UACGUAGGGGGGCUAGCGUUGUCCGGAAUCAUUGGGCGUAAAGCGCGUGUAGGCGGUUCGGUAAGUCCGCUGUGAAAGUCGGGGGCUCAACCCUCGGAUGCCGGUGGAUACUGUCGAGCUAGAGUCCGGAAGAGGAGAGUGGAAUUCCUGGUGUAGCGGUGAAAUGCGCAGAUAUCAGGAAGAACACCCGUGGCGAAGGCGGCUCUCUGGGACGGUACUGACGCUGAGACGCGAAAGCGUGGGGAGCGAACAGG